CAUUACACAAAUGAAAAUAUGAAGGCCCUUCAAACCGGCUGGAUUAUUUUUCUUCACCCUUGUCUUUUGCGCACUUGUUGUUUCCUGGGCGGGUUCGCUCGCCACCAGGACCACACCAUAAACCUUUUUGUUAAUGCAAUCAGCGUCAGUAAAAAGUAAUAAUUAUUUUACAACUUUCAACAACGGAUCUCUUGGUUCUGGCAUCGAUGAAGAACGCAGCGAAAUGCGAUACGUAGUGUGAAUUGCAGAAUUCAGUGAAUCAUCGAAUCUUUGAACGCACAUUGCGCCCUUUGGUAUUCCAAAGGGCAUGCCUGUUCGAGCGUCAUUUGUACCCUCAAGCUUUGCUUGGUGUUGGGCGUUGUUUGUCUUUGGCCUUGCCCAAAGACUCGCCUUAAAACAAUUGGCAGCCGGCCUACUGGUUUCGCAGCGCAGCACAUUUUUGCGCUUGCAAUCAGCAAAAGAGGUUGGCCAUCCAUCAAGACUACAUUUAUACGUUUGACCUCGGAUCAGGUAGGGAUACCCGCUGAACUUAAGCAUAUCAAUAA
rnacentral:misc_RNA from 1 species